GACGAACGCUGGCGGCGUGCUUAACACAUGCAAGUCGAACGGAAAGGCCCUUCGGGGUGCUCGAGUGGCGAACGGGUGAGUAACACGUGGGUGAUCUGCCCUGCACUUUGGGAUAAGCCUGGGAAACUGGGUCUAAUACCGAAUAUACCUCGCUGGUUGCAUGACCUGGUGGGGGAAAGCUUUUGCGGUGUGGGAUGGGCCCGCGGCCUAUCAGCUUGUUGGUGGGGUGAUGGCCUACCAAGGCGACGACGGGUAGCCGGCCUGAGAGGGUGUCCGGCCACACUGGGACUGAGAUACGGCCCAGACUCCUACGGGAGGCAGCAGUGGGGAAUAUUGCACAAUGGGCGCAAGCCUGAUGCAGCGACGCCGCGUGGGGAGUGACGGCCUCGGUG
rnacentral:rRNA from 1 species